rnacentral:rRNA from 1 species
UACGGGGGGGGCAAGCGUUGUUCGGAAUUACUGGGCGUAAAGGGCUCGUAGGCGGCCAACUAAGUCGGAUGUGAAAUCCCCAGGCUUAACCUGGGAACUGCAUCCGAUACUGGAUGGCUUGAAUCCGGGAGAGGGAUGCGGAAUUCCAGGUGUAGCGGUGAAAUGCGUAGAUAUCUGGAGGAACACCGGUGGCGAAGGCGGCAUCCCGGACCGGCAUUGACGCUGAGGAGCGAAAGCCAGGGGAGCAAACGGG